rnacentral:rRNA from 1 species
UACGGGGGGGGUAAGCGUUGUUCGGAAUUACUGGGCGUAAAGGGCUCGUAGGCGGCCAACUAAGUCAGACGUGAAAUCCCCAGGCUUAACCUGGGAACUGCGUCUGAUACUGGAUGGCUUGAAUUCGGGAGAGGGAUGCAGAAUUCCAGGUGUAGCGGUGAAAUGCGUAGAUAUCUGGAGGAAUACCGGUGGCGAAGGCGGCAUCCUGGACCGACAUUGACGCUGAGGAGCGAAAGCUAGGGGAGCAAACGGGG